CGAAGGAUUCGAGCGUUAUCCGGAUUUAUUGGGUUUAAAGGGAGCGCAGGUGGAUUAAUAAGUCAGUGGUGAAAGCCCGCAGCUUAACUGCGGAACUGCCAUUGAUACUGUUAGUCUUGAGUACAGUUGAGGUGGGCGGAAUGUGUCAUGUAGCGGUGAAAUGCUUAGAUAUGACACAGAACACCGAUUGCGAAGGCAGCUCACUAAGCUGUAACUGACACUGAGGCACGAAAGCGUGGGGAGCAAACAGGAUUAGAUACCCUGGUAGUCCACGCCCUAAACGAUGAUUACUCGAUGUUGGCGAUACACUGUCAGCGUCUAAGCGAAAGCAUUAAGUAAUCCACCUGGGGAGUACGACCGCAAGGUUG
rnacentral:rRNA from 1 species